rnacentral:rRNA from 1 species
GAUGAACGCUGGCGGCGUGCCUAAUACAUGCAAGUCGAGCGAAUGGAUUAAGAGCUUGCUCUUAUGAAGUUAGCGGCGGACGGGUGAGUAACACGUGGGUAACCUGCCCAUAAGACUGGGAUAACUCCGGGAAACCCGGGCUAAUACAGCGUGAUGCGUCUCCACUUAAGUGGAGCCGCCAAAUGGUAACUUCGGCCUCCGCUCUGGGAUGGGCCCGCGACGGAUUAGCUAGUUGGUUGGGGUAACGGCCCACCAAGGCGACGAUCCGUAGCUGGUCUGAGGAGACGAUCAGCCACACUGGGACUGAGACACGGCCCAGAGUCCUACGGGAGGCAGCAGUGGGGAAUCUUGCGCAAUGGGCGAAAGCCUGACGCAGCAACGCCGCGUGGGGGAAGAAGGCCUUCGGGUUGUAAACCUCUUUCAGUAGGGACGAAGCUUCCGGGGUUAAUAGCCUACGGGGUGACGGUACCUACAGAAGAAGCCCCGGCUAACUACGUGCCAGCCGCCGCAGUAA